GAGAGGUCCAGCCUGCCCAGUGACUAAGUUCAACGGCCGCGGUAUCCUAACCGUGCGAAGGUAGCGUAAUCACUUGUUCUUUAAAUGAGGACUAGUAUGAAUGGCACCACGAGGGUUGUACUGUCUCCUUUUUUUAAUCAAUGAAACUGAUCUCCCCGUGAAGAAGCGGGGAUAAAAAUAUAAGACGAGAAGACCCUAUGGAGCUUUAAACAAUUAUAGCACUGGCCCACAUCUCCUAUUCUUCUGAGAUAUAACUAUUAUACAGGCCAACAUGACUAUUAGUUUUAGGUUGGGGUGACCGCGGAGCAAAAACCAACCUCCACGUUGAACGGAGCUAUUCCUGAGCUAAAAACUACAACUUUAAGCACCAAUAAACUGACAUUAAUUGACCCA
rnacentral:rRNA from 1 species